rnacentral:rRNA from 1 species
UACGAAGGGGGCUAGCGUUGCUCGGAAUCACUGGGCGUAAAGGGUGCGUAGGCGGGUUUUUAAGUCAGAGGUGAAAUCCUGGAGCUCAACUCCAGAACUGCCUUUGAUACUGAAAGUCUUGAGUAUGGGAGAGGUGAGUGGAACUGCGAGUGUAGAGGUGAAAUUCGUAGAUAUUCGCAAGAACACCAGUGGCGAAGGCGGCUGUCUGGUCCGGUUCUGACGCUGAGGCGCGAAAGCGUGGGGAGCAAACAGG